ACCCUCCUGCCCUGGAAAGGCAGCCACAGCUGGGACAGCAGGGCUGUGGCAAUGGGACUGCGUGGGGGCUCACACAGCUGCCUGAAUCUGGAGCAAGUUCAGGAAGCAAAAGGGACCCAGCUCAGGCCAAGAUGGAUGGACAGACAUCCCACAAAGGCGGAUGGACAGACACCCUACAAGCUACAUGGGCACGCUUGCAGAAAGAUGCGGGGUGAGGAAAUAUAUGUAUUUUAGUCGUGUACUCGUGUGGAGCGUGACAUCUUCUAUUUCAAAGCUGACCUAUUUUGAGGAGUAAGAAAAUUAGCUGAAUUCCCCAAAAUCAAAACACUUAAUUCUGGUU
rnacentral:lncRNA from 7 species